CUGCCUUUGAAACUACAUGACUAGAAUCUUGGAGAGGUCAGUGGAAUUCCGAGUUAGAGGUGAAAUUCGUAGAUAUUCGGAAGAACACCAGUGGCGAAGGCGACUGACUGGACAAGUAUUGACGCUAAAGUGCGAAAGCGUGGGGAGCAAACAGGAUUAGAUACCCUGGUAGUCCACGCCGUAAACGAUGAUAACUAGCUGUUCGGGCACUUGGUGCUUGAGUGGCGCAGCUAACGCAUUAAGUUAUCCGCCUGGGGAGUACGGUCGCAAGAUUAAAACUCAAAGGAAUUGACGGGGGCCU
rnacentral:rRNA from 1 species